rnacentral:rRNA from 1 species
CGCGUAGGUGGCCAAUUAAGUCAAAUGUGAAAUCCCCGAGCUUAACUUGGGAAUUGCAUUCGAUACUGGUUGGCUAGAGUAUGGGAGAGGAUGGUAGAAUUCCAGGUGUAGCGGUGAAAUGCGUAGAGAUCUGGAGGAAUACCGAUGGCGAAGGCAGCCAUCUGGCCUAAUACUGACGCUGAGGUGCGAAGGUGCGGGGAGCAAACAGGAUUAGAUACCCCUGUA